rnacentral:sRNA from 1 species
UGACAUUAUGUGAGUACGCGACGCCUUG